GACGAACGCUGGCGGCGCGCUUAACACAUGCAAGUCGAACGGAAAGGCCUGCUUUCCCUUGUGGAUUGCGGGUACUCGAGUGGCGAACGGGUGAGUAACACGGGAGUUAUCUUCCCCCAACGUGGGUAGAAGCCUGGGAAACUGGGACUAAUUCCCGGUAGUACUGCAGGGAGGAGGGUGUGGUGGGAAACGACUUUCUAGUGGGUGGGGAUGUGCGCGCGGCGUAUCAGCUGGGUGGUGGGGUACAGGGCUACCAAGGCAAAGAUGGGUAGCGGGGCUGAGAGGGUGAGCAGCCACAGUGGAACUGAGACACGGUCCAGACUCAGACGGCAAGCAGCGGCGGGGAAUAUUGGACAAUGGGAGCAAGCGUGAUCCAGACGUACCGAGUGGGUGAAGAAGGUCUUCGGGUUGGAAAGGCAUUUUGUUGGGAAAGACAAGCAACAGGCUAAGAUCCCGCUGUUCUGACGGUACCCAAAGAAUAAGCACCGGCUAACUUCGUG
rnacentral:rRNA from 1 species